rnacentral:sRNA from 1 species
UUUCGAGGUGGGAGUCUACUGAGGUGAGGUAUGGUGCUGGGUGCAGAUGCAAUGUGGCUCUGGAUAGCACCUUAUGGACAGUUGUGUCCCAAAGGAAGGAUGAGAAUAGCUACUGAAGUAAGUUGAAAAUCUUUAAAUCUCAAAAAGAUUUAAAGCCAUUGGAUGUGCCACAAUGAUGACAGUUUAUUUGCUACUCUUGAGUGCUAGAAUGAUGAGGAUCUUAACCACCAUUAUCUUAACUGAGGCACCCAAAAUGGUGAUUUGGGGAACAGAGAGAGUACACCUAAGUUCACACGAAGUUGUUUCUUCCCAGGUCCUAAAGAGCAAGCCUAACUCAAGCCAUUGGCACACCGGUGAGAAACCUCUAUAUUGUACUUCACACUUUUAAGGGAUUAGAAAAUAGCCAAAGCAGUGGUGAUUAUCUAUGUUAGUGUUUGUCUCCCCCCCUUUUCAAAUGAGAAUUUUGCUCUCAUAUUGAUACUAAGUUUAAUACUGAAGAAAAUGUGAAAACAGAUACUAUGAUGGUUGCAUAGUUCAGCAGAUUGAAUCAUGAAGAGAUGUACUAUCUGUCUGAUGUAUCUGGGGUGGUUGUGGUUUGCUGUUAAUGGUUAAGCAGUGUACCACCAAUCUACCAUUAAAAUAUUCUUUGCUGACAAUUUUGUAUUAAAAUUACAGGCAUUAGACAGAAAACUGGAAGUUGAAAUGGUAAGUGAAACUAUGUCCAAGUAAACAGCUAACUGGGCAAACUGCCUACAGCACAAAUGGCUUUUUAGGGUUACCUCCUACUAGUGCUGAAUGCAUUAAAUAAAUGGUGGAUUCUUGUCUUGUUAUGAUUAAUAAGAAAGUUUGUAAAUGCAGCCUGGAUGAUGAUAAGCAAAUACUGACUGAACAUGAAGGUCUUAAUUAGCUCUAACUGACUAAAGGCAUUUGUUAGUUUUGGCAGGGGGAGAACACUCACCUGUGGCUAUUCUAAGACCACUCUUAUUUCUUAGGUGGAGUCCAACUUGUCUGGACCAGCUUAAUGGUUCUGGUACGUAUUAAUGAAAACAGUAGAUAGACUUAAUGAAAA